rnacentral:rRNA from 1 species
UACGUAGGGGGCAAGCGUUAUCCGGAUUCAUUGGGCGUAAAGCGCGCGUAGGCGGCCCGUUAAGUCAGAUGUGAAAACCGGAGGCUUAACCUCCGGCCUGCAUCUGAAACUGGCGGGCUUGAGUCUGGUAGAGGAAAGUGGAAUUCCCAGUGUAGCGGUGAAAUGCGCAGAUAUUGGGAGGAACACCAGUGGCGAAGGCGGCUUUCUGGGCCACGACUGACGCUGAGGCGCGAAAGCUAGGGGAGCGAACAGG